UACGUAGGGGGCGAGCGUUGUCCGGAGUUACUGGGCGUAAAGCGCUUGUAGGCGGUCCACCAAGUUUGGGGUGACAGUUGCCGACUUAAUCGGCAAAGUGCCUCAAAGACUGGCGGACUUGAGGGCCACAGAGGGACAUGGAACUCCAGGUGUAGUGGUGAAAUUCGUAGAUAUUGGGAAGAACACCAGCGGCGAAGGCGGCUAUCUGGACCACAACUGACGCUGAGGCGCGAAAGCGUGGGGAGCAAACAGG
rnacentral:rRNA from 1 species